rnacentral:rRNA from 1 species
CGUGUAGGCGGUUUAAUAAGUCAGAUGUAAAAGCCCCCGGCUCAACCGGGGAUGGUCAUUUGAAACUGUUAGGCUUGAGUGCGAGAGAGGGUAGUGGAAUUCCCAGUGUAGCGGUGGAAUGCGUAGAUAUUGGGAAGAACACCAGUAGCGAAGGCGGCUACCUGGCUCGCAACUGACGCUAAGGCGCGAAAGCGUGGGGAGCAAACA